rnacentral:rRNA from 1 species
AUACGGAGGGUGCAAGCGUUAAUCGGAAUUACUGGGCGUAAAGCGUACGUAGGCGGUUAUUUAAGUCAGAUGUGAAAGCCCCGGGCUUAACUUGGGAACUGCAUUUGAAACUGGGUAACUAGAGUUUAGUAGAGGGGAGUGGAAUUUCAGGUGUAGCGGUGAAAUGCGUAGAGAUCUGAAGGAACACCAGUGGCGAAGGCGACUCCCUGGCUUAAAACUGACGCUGAGGUACGAAAGCGUGGGUAGCAAACAGGAUUAGAAACCCGUGUAGUCC